UACGUAGGGUCCGAGCGUUGUCCGGAAUUACUGGGCGUAAAGCGUGCGCAGGCGGUUUUGUAAGCCAGAUGUGAAAUCCCCGGGCUUAACCUGGGAAUGGCAUUUGGGACUGCAAGGCUGGAGUUUGGCAGAGGAGACUGGAAUUCCUGGUGUAGCAGUGAAAUGCGUAGAUAUCAGGAGGAAUACCGAUGGCGAAGGCAGGUCUCUGGGCUAUAACUGACGCUCAUGCACGAAAGCGUGGGGAGCAAACAGG
rnacentral:rRNA from 1 species